CUGGCCCCUCAAGCAGCAGCUUAACCUGCUGUGCCCUAACAAUAGCUCCAACAGUGCCUUUCUCUUUAAGGUCGAUUGAUCUCUGAAGUUUAUAGUCCAUGUUGUCAGUAUAUUUAUUGCUGAAAAAUGAUGCAAAGGGAUCUUAGUAAAAUGUGGGGGGGGAUUUGAACAUAAAAAAGGGUGUUUGUCUACUUCUAGACCGUCUUCCUGGUUUCACUCAUGUUUCCUGAGGUUACUGUUUAAAGGAAAGAAGAAAUACUUUGGCUGGUAUUGUGGCUUAGGUGGGUUAAAUUGCUGCCUAUGAUGCUGGCAUCGCAUCUGGGCAGCAGUUUGUGUCCCAGCGAAUCUACUUCCAGUCCAGCUCCCUGCUAAUGGCUGGAAAAGCAGCACCCACGUGGGAGACCCAGAUGAAGCUCCUGGGUCCUGGCUUCUGUCUAGCCCAGCCCUGGUACUGGCUAUUUGGGUGGUGAACCAGCAGAGGGAAGAUUGGUCCAUCUCUCUCCCUGCCAUUCCUACCCCCAUAGCUCUCUCUUUCGAAUAAACCAAAUUACCUUUAAGAAAGGAAGAAGAAUUAAGAGUUUGUUAUUAAGUUCUCUAAUUGGGAGCAUUUGUAAACACAGUUAUGGGACUUAGUUCGUGUUAUUUAGAUGUUUCUGUCAUAUUUAACAAACAGUUGCUAUUGAAAAUACAUUAAUUUCAUUGUUUUUAAUAAACUUGUUUCAUGUGUAAUUUUUCUUAAUACGCAUUUGAAAUUUUUUUUUCUCUUGCUAGAUAUAACACGGAAAAGUCCCAGAACACCUCUUUCUGAUCUCCAGGGCAUGAAUGCUCUGAAUGAACAAAACCAGCAGUUCACUGGGAAGCCAUGGGAGAUGAAGCCUGCAUGUGAGGCUCUGGGCCUUCCCCACGUUACUUCACCUUCUGGAAAUCAUAGACAG
rnacentral:lncRNA from 1 species